rnacentral:rRNA from 1 species
AGCCUUAGGAAUGGAUCUACGGUUAUACCUGCCCAAUGUAUUUAUGAAUGGCCGCGGUACUUUGACCGUGCUAAGGUAGCGCAAUCAAUUGGCUCUUAAUUGGAGUCAGGAAUGAAUGGAGUUUACGGGGUUUAGCUGUCUCUUAACUACUAAAUUGAAGUUACUAUGUAGGUGAAAAAGCCUAUAAAAAUAAAAAGGACGAGAAGACCCUUAGAGUUUUACUUAAUAUGAUACUUAAUAAUUAUAAUUCAUAAUGGUUUUGUUGGGGCAACAUUGGAGCAUAAAAGAAUUUUAUAAUCUCCUAGAUAUAAUAAACCGAUUAUUUUAAAGACGGAUAAACUACCUUAGGGAUAACAGCAUAAUUUUAUAAAUAAGUUUGUGACCUCGAUGUUGGACUAGGAAAUCUAAAGGCUAGUCGUCUUUAGGGAAAGUUCUGUUCGAACUAUUAUUCCU